UACAGAGGGGGCAAGCGUUGUUCGGAAUUACUGGGCGUAAAGGGCGCGUAGGCGGUUCGUACAGUCAGACGUGAAAUUCCUGGGCUCAACCUGGGGGCUGCGUUUGAUACGUGCGGACUUGAGUGCGGAAGAGGGUCGUGGAAUUCCCAGUGUAGAGGUGAAAUUCGUAGAUAUUGGGAAGAACACCGGUGGCGAAGGCGGCGACCUGGUCCGAUACUGACGCUGAGGCGCGAAAGCGUGGGGAGCAAACAGG
rnacentral:rRNA from 1 species